CCAAGAGCAAGCAUUCAGUGGCGAGGAAAAACUCCCUUUUAGGCAGAAACCUCGGGUGGUGAGGGAAACUUCCUUUUUAGGGAGAAUCCUCGGACAGACCCAGGCUCUUGUUAGGCGGUGUCUGACGGUGCCGGUUGGGGGUGUGAUGAACAGUGGCAAUUAUAGUCACAACUGAUGAAAGCCCUUGCAUUUGCAGUAUUACGAACUGGGUGUCGGGCGGCAUUCCCGGGAAAACUCACAAGCGGUUUGGAUCGGAGAUCCCAAAACAAACCUGCAACGAUUACUGCUUAUUGUCAAAAGCCUCUUUCCGACCAAGUAGUUACAGGAACGUAGUUAAACAGUUCUACUAACUACUCUUCCCCCAAAACCGGUUUUGCCAAGAUAGAAGAGCAGAGCGCAACAGGCAAACGAAACAACGGACGUUGCUAGGUCACUAAGGGUUCCUAUGCGGAAAAGGAAAAUAACCCUGCCCUGAAGUAGGAGCUGAAAGAGUUACAGGAACUGCGGUCAGAGGAA